UCGCGGGGUGGAGCAGUCUGGUAGCUCGUCGGGCUCAUAACCCGAAGGUCGCAGGUUCAAAUCCUGUCCCCGCAAU
rnacentral:tRNA from 6 species